UACGUAGGUGGCAAGCGUUGUCCGGAAUUAUUGGGCGUAAAGCGCGCGCAGGCGGUCCUUUAAGUCUGAUGUGAAAGCCCACGGCUCAACCGUGGAGGGUCAUUGGAAACUGGGGGGACUUGAGUGCAGGAGAGAAGAGUGGAAUUCCACGUGUAGCGGUGAAAUGCGUAGAGAUGUGGAGGAACACCAGUGGCGAAGGCGGCCAUCUG
rnacentral:rRNA from 1 species